rnacentral:rRNA from 1 species
GACGAACGCUGGCGGCGUGCUUAACACAUGCAAGUCGAACGAAGUGGCGAACGGGUGAGUAACGCGUAAUUAACCUGCCCUUCAGAUGGGGACAACAGUUGGAAACGACUGCUAAUACCGAAUACGGAAGGAGGGGAUUGCGGCUGAUGAGCUAGUUGGAGGGGUAACGGCCCACCAAGGCGAUGAUCAGUAGCCGGUCUGAAGGGAUGAACGGCCCCAAUUGGACCGGGACACGGGCCAGACUCCCAACGGAGGCAAGAGGGGGGAAUCAUCCGCAAAGGGGGAAAGUCUGACGGCACAACGGCGCGUGAGUUGUGACGGCCUUCGGGUUGUAAAGCUAUGUUAAUCGGGGAGCGGUACCGGAAGAGAAAGCCACGGCUAACUACGUGCCAGCAGCCGCGGUAAUUC